rnacentral:rRNA from 1 species
CGCUCAACAGCUAGCCCACCAAUAUAACACCAACCCCACAACUAUAUAUAACCCUAAAUAUACAAACACCUACACUAAACAAACCAUUUAACCCCUCUAGUAUGGGAGACAGAAAAAG